AUCGNGAAAAAAAGAAUGAAACACUAUUGAAGACCCGACCCAAUCUUAAAGAAGCCCUUAACAGAGGCAAUUCAAAGGCGGACGAUGACGAAUCGAAGGCGAUCUACUCCGUCAUCUCUCUUCUUCAUCCCAUCUUCAUCCUUCUCCUCCACCUCCAACAUAGAACUCAACGCCUCAUCCGGAAUCCAACAAUUUACAUCUGUUCGGUUAUUCAUUAGUCACUGCGUUCGGUAAUUUCUUUCCUCCUCCAAAGCUAUAACCACCAUCUUCUCCAGUUAAAUCAACAGAUAAAAUUAGGUGUGUGUGAUAUGUGGUUUACAUGGGUAUCUCGAAGUUAUUUACANUAUGUAAAUUUACAUAUAGUUCCGACUAAAUUUGUGUAUUUAUGAAUUUUCAAUGACAACCUAAUAUCUGAGAUUCUUUGUACAGAAAUGCGUAUGAUUUCGAAGGUAGAUUAAUAAAUUUGACUCAUUCAUCAGAUUCUGUGUAUGUGUUUGAAUUUGAUUCUAGCACCCAUUUGAGCCCUUAAUUCUCUGUUGUACCGUGUGUGUAAUGAAGUUUUAAAUGUCAGAAAUGUGAAGAUUGAACACUGCAUGAAGUUAUAGAGGUGUUGAACAUUGUUGUAUAUAGUGAAUGGAGAAGGUGUGUAGUAGUAUACCCAGUGUUUGAUUGUCUGAGUGUGAUUGACUUCAAGCAAUGUAAAAAGAAUUUGGACUGAAUGUGUUUCUCGUAGUUUACAAUGGCAAGACAGAACAAUGGAGUCUACCAUGGAUGUAGAUAAAGUGGUCACAUCUUUGCGGAUUGCCAAUAUAAGGUCCCUUGCUCAUGGUGUAAAGUUACAUAUGUGAAGUGUUUUGUGGUGGUGAAGAGCACUACAACAAAGGUAAAUUGUUCAAGUGUUGCAGCAAAAAAUGUGGAUUUUGGGAGUGUGUUAAAGAGGGUGAAAUGUCUAUUAAAUCAAGUUCCAUUGGCAACUCCUUCACUAAUCAUGUGGCGACUGGAUUAGAGAAUAAUGUCUCUUGCAUGUUCGAAACAAUGUGCCAAUUAACUCACUAAAAAGAUGUGGAGAUAAUCUCAACUAGACGCAACAGAAAUGCAAAUGCGGAAUGUGAUAAGAAAGGAAAAGGGCCAGCAUGAGUUUUUGCACUAAACUUGUUUUUGGAUGUCCAAACUUGAAGUAUCUUUGUAUCUAAAAAACGUGGCUUUACCAUACAUUUUCUUGCAUAGUUUGGAAUUAAGAAUGAAUGCAUAUCAGUGUAUUAACUAGUUGUUACGCUAUUAGGAAUAUGGUGAUUUACAGAUUAGAAAUCAUUUGCUUAUGUCAUUUUGUAAUCAAUUACCGUACGAAGAUCAAUCAUUUUGUUGUGGCUAGAUACAAUCUGCAUCAGUUUUUUUGAAUGCUGUGUUUUCGAGUUUCUGUUCAUGCUACUGUAUACACCAUGAUCAUGGAGGGGGGUUUUGUUGUGUUUUAGGUACAAAAUAACUCACACAAGACUUUAAAGUGUGAUGGAUCAAUUCAAAAUUUGUAACUUCAUUCCACCUUUUACGACAUUGGCG
rnacentral:lncRNA from 1 species